UAAACAAAACCAAUCAUCUUAAAGACUUC
rnacentral:piRNA from 1 species